rnacentral:rRNA from 1 species
UACGUAGGCGGUCCAAUAAGUCAGUGGUGAAAUCCUGCAGCUUAACUGUAGAACUGCCAUUGAUACUGUCGGACUUGAAUAUAGUUGAGGUAGGCGGAAUGUGUUGUGUAGCGGUGAAAUGCUUAGAUAUAACACAGAACACCGAUUGCGAAGGCAGCUUACUAGACUAUUAUUGACGCUGAGGUACGAAAGCGUGGGUAGCGAACAGGAUUAGAUACCCUGGUAGUCC